GCAACUUUUCCUCUGGACAGGUUUUGAUGAAUCUCCCCCUAUGCUACUAUCAAGGGCUUCUACCAGAACUGGUCCUGUGGCUGAAGUAAUAUUUAGGAGGAUGGAAGUGUUUUUAGAUAUUAUGGCUUAUCAUCGCUACUGUUUUAUUCCUUAACAGUUUUCUAUGUGGUGAGCGUAGGAGUGUUUGUGGUGGGCAUUGCCCUGUUUAGGAAAUUUUUCAGAAAGAAAAGCCAAUUUAUGGUAUUUAAGGACCUUGAGUCGGCCUACACCGAUGAUCCGUUGGGAUAUUAUCCAGAUGAGGACUAUGAUUUUUCUAACUGUACCCUCAUGAUGGAGAGUGAGGAGUGAAGCGAAAAGAUCAGUGGUAGACCCCAGUAGUCCCCAGUGGUCGGACCCCCCCGCAAUCUGAAACUU